rnacentral:rRNA from 1 species
UACGGAGGAUCCAAGCGUUAUCCGGAUUCAUUGGGCGUAAAGAGCGCGUAGGCGGCUUGUUAAGCGAGGUGUGAAAUCCGGGGGCUCAACCCGCGGACUGCACCUCGAACUGGCAGGCUUGAGUUUGGUAGAGGAAAGUGGAAUUCCCAGUGUAGCGGUGGAAUGCGCAGAUAUUGGGAGGAACACCAGUGGCGAAGGCGGCUUUCUGGGCCACAACUGACGCUGAGGCGCGAAAGCGUGGGUAGCAAACAGG